GUAGAGGGAAACGCGGUCGAGUGG
rnacentral:siRNA from 1 species